rnacentral:rRNA from 1 species
GAUGAACGCUGGCGGCGUGCCUAAUACAUGCAAGUCGAGCGAACAGAUAAGGAGCUUGCUCCUUUGACGUUAGCGGCGGACGGGUGAGUAACACGUGGGUAACCUACCUAUAAGACUGGGAUAACUUCGGGAAACCGGAGCUAAUACCGGAUAACAUUUGGAACCGCAUGGUUCUAAAGUGAAAGAUGGUUUUGCUAUCACUUAUAGAUGGACCCGCGCCGUAUUAGCUAGUUGGUAAGGUAACGGCUUACCAAGGCAACGAUACGUAGCCGACCCGAGAGGGUGAUCGGCCACACUGGAACUGAGACACGGUCCAGACUCCUACGGGAGGCAGCAGUAGGGAAUCUUCCGCAAUGGGCGAAAGCCUGACGGAGCAACGCCGCGUGAGUGAUGAAGGGUUUCGGCUCGUAAAACUCUGUUAUUAGGGAAGAACAAACGUGUAAGUAACUGUGCACGUCUUGACGGUACCUAAUCAGAAAGCCACGGCUAACUACGUG